rnacentral:misc_RNA from 1 species
GAUCCCCGUCCUCGUGCGGCCGACUACCGACGCCGUGUCCCGUCAUUCGUGUGGCUUACGCCGCUGUUUCCUUUCGAAGUGCUUGCGUGCCGGUACCCGACCUACGGGAAUUGGUGCAUCGUACACGGUUGCCUCGCGGUGGACGCCUUCGGGUGUUCCGCUGCGGCCAAGUGGCUCUUGCGGCGUUGCCUCGUGGUGCUGGCACGUUUACGUGUCCGGUGCUAUCAAGGCAGCCUCGCUCGUGCUGUUGGUUUCGGAUGUUGCUCACGAUAAAGGCUCAUGGCCCUUUCUGUUGGCAAAUCCUGACCCUUCAAAGCUCCUUGAACCCGAACGUGUCGUAGAACGAUGUGUUGCCUCUGCCUCUCCACAGUUAGUGGUAGGAUACGCAGCAUGCUGGGCCGAUACAAGUAGACGUAUGGGAUCUUUGUUGGUUUUGGACGUUGCUCACGAUAAAGGCUAGACCCGACCCUUUGAAGCUCCCUGAACCCGAACGUGUCGUAGAACGAUGUGUUGCCUCUGCCCUCUCCACAGUUAGUGGUAGGAUACGCAGCAUGCUGGGCCGAUGCAAGUAGACGUAGGGGAGCUUGGCCCGCUCAAUUGCGACAACCGGCCCGGCUGCUGUCUGCCUUCACGGGCGGACGGCUGCCGACGCUGGACGUCAAAGAGGACGUGCUACCUGGUUGAUCCUGCCAGUAGU